AGAGUUGAUCAUGGCUCAGGAUGAACGCUAGCGACAGGCUAACACAUGCAAGUCGAGGGGCAGCACGGGAGUAGCAAUACUUGGUGGCGACCGGCGCACGGGUGAGUAACGCGUAUGCCAACCUACCUAUCAGAGGGGAAUAACCCGGCGAAAGUCGGACUAAUACCGCAUAAAACAGGGGCACCGCAUGGUGAUAUUUGUUAAAGAAAUUACGCUGAUAGAUGGGCAUGCGUUCCAUUAGGUAGUUGGUGAGGUAACGGCUCACCAAGCCGACGAUGGAUAGGGGAACUGAGAGGUUGGUCCCCCACACUGGUACUGAGACACGGACCAGACUCCUACGGGAGGCAGCAGUGAGGAAUAUUGGUCAAUGGGCGGGAGCCUGAACCAGCCAAGUCGCGUGAAGGAAGAAGGAUCUAUGGUUCGUAAACUUCUUUUGCAGGGGAAUAAAGUGCAGGACGUGUCCUGUUUUGUAUGUACCCUGAGAAUAAGGAUCGGCUAACUCCGUGCCAGCCGCGGC
rnacentral:rRNA from 1 species